AUUGAACGCUGGCGGCAUGCCUUACACAUGCAAGUCGAACGGCAGCGGGGACUUCGGUCCGCCGGCGAGUGGCGAACGGGUGAGUAAUGCAUCGGAACGUACCAUUGAGUGGGGGAUAACUAUCCGAAAGGAUAGCUAAUACCGCAUAUUCUCUCCGGAGGAAAGCAGGGGACCGCAAGGCCUUGCGCUCUUUGAGCGGCCGAUAUCAGAUUAGCUAGUUGGUGGGGUAAGGCUCACCAAGGCGACGAUCUGUAGCGGGUCUGAGAGGAUGAUCCGCCACACUGGAACUGAGACACGGUCCAGACUCCUACGGGAGGCAGCAGUGGGGAAUUUUGGACAAUGGGGGCAACCCUGAUCCAGCCAUGCCGCGUGAGUGAAGAAGGCCUUCGGGUUGUAAAGCUCUUUCGGCCGGGAAAAAAUCGCAUGGGCUAAUACCCUGUGUGGAUGAUGGUACCGGAAUAAGAAGCACCGGCUAACUACGUGCCAGCAGCCGCGGUAACAC
rnacentral:rRNA from 1 species